AGCAGCCGCGGUAAUUCCAGCUCCAAUAGCGUAUAUUAAAGUUGUUGCAGUUAAAAAGCUCGUAGUUGAAUUUCGGGGUUAGUAGGUUGGUCAUGCCUCUGGUAUGUACUGGUCUCACUGAUUCCUCCUUCCUGAUGAGCCGUAAUGCCAUUAAUUUGGUGUUGCGGGGAAUUUGGACUGUUACUUUGAAAAAAUUAGAGUGUUUAAAGCAAGCUAACGCUUGAAUACAUUAGCAUGGAAUAAUGAAAUAGGACGUUCGAUCCUAUUUUGUUGGUUUCUAGGAUUGACGUAAUGAUUAAUAGGGAUAGUUGGGGGCAUUAGUAUUCAAUUGUCAGAGGUGAAAUUCUUGGAUUUAUUGAAGACUAACUACUGCGAAAGCAUUUGCCAAGGAUGUUUUCAUUAAUCAAGAACGAAAGUUAGGGGAUCGAAGACGAUCAGAUACCGUCGUAGUUUUAACCAUAAACUAUGCCGACUAGGGAUCGGAUGAUGUAAUUUUUAAUGACUCAUUCGGCGCCUUACG
rnacentral:rRNA from 1 species